CCUACGGGUGGCUGCAGUGAGGAAUAUUGGUCAAUGGACGAGAGUCUGAACCAGCCCAGUCUCGUGCAGGAUGACUGCCCUAUGGGUUGUAAACUUCUUUUAUAUGGGGAUAACAUUUACUACGUGUACUGUUUUGUAUGUACCAUCUGAAUAAGGAUCGGCUAACUCCGUGCCAGCAGCCGCGGUAAUACGGAGGAUCCGAGCUUUCUCCGGAUUUAUUGGGUUUAAAGGGUGCGUAGGAGGAUUGUUAAGUCAGUUGUGAAAGUUUGAGGCUCAACCGUAAAAUUGCAGUUGAAACUGGCAGUCUUGAGUGCAGUAGAGGUAGGCGGAAUUCGUGGUGUAGCGGUGAAAUGCUUAGAUAUCACGAAGAACGCCGAUUGCGAAGGCAGCUUACUGGACUGUAACUGACGCUGAGGCUCGAAAGUGUGGGUAUCAAACAGGAUUAGAUACCCUUGUAGUC
rnacentral:rRNA from 1 species